rnacentral:rRNA from 1 species
CCUACGGGGGGCAGCAGUAGGGAAUAUUGCUCAAUGGGGGAAACCCUGAAGCAGCAACGCCGCGUGGCGGAUGAAGGUUUUCGGAUUGUAAACUCCUUUUGUUAGAGAAGAUAAUGACGGUAUCUAACGAAUAAGCACCGGCUAACUCCGUGCCAGCAGCCGCGGUAAUACGGAGGGUGCAAGCGUUACUCGGAACCACUGGGCGUAAAGGGCGCGUAGGCGGGAUAGCAAGUCAGAUGUGAAAUCCUAUGGCUUAACCAUAGAACUGCAUUUGAAACUGUUAUUCUAGAGUAUGGGAGAGGUAGGUGGAAUUCUUGGUGUAGGGGUAAAAUCCGUAGAGAUCAAGAGGAAUACUCAUUGCGAAGGCGACCUGCUAGAACAUAACUGACGCUGAUGCGCGAAAGCGUGGGGAGCAAACAGGAUUAGAUACCCCGGUAGUC